rnacentral:misc_RNA from 1 species
GAUCAUUCAUUUGAAAUCCCAAAAACAUACAAAUUCAUCCAAGCACUGCCAAUCAGAGAUUAUAGAGGCUAGAUGGUGGCAUAGAAUUUGCAGGUUAAACAAUAUCAAGAGUUUGAUAGGUCAAAUCCAGGCCUAGACUGCUCAGUACGUAAUUAUUGACUACUCAGACAAUGUUAGCUGAACUGAUUGAUUUAACUGCUAGUAGAUGAAUCAUAAAUAUUGCAAGAAUGACUUGGUGGUCUAACAAAGGGAAGAAAAAUUGCAUCCCUGACUUUAUAUGAAUAACAAAAUGACUAAAACUAAGGUAACUAAACAACAGAAUUGACACUCUAAAGCAAAUAAUAAAAAAGUAAAGAGCAUACUGAAAACUAUUUAUACUGUAACUAUGUAUGAAUCUUGCAUGUAGCAGAUUGCAAUGCCAACAUGUCCUGCUCAUUUUGAUAGGAAAGAGUUAAUAGCAUGAAGCUGGU